rnacentral:rRNA from 1 species
GACGAACGCUGGCGGCGUGCUUAACACAUGCAAGUCGAGCGGAAAGGCCCUUUCGGGGGUACUCGAGCGGCGAACGGGUGAGUAACACGUGAGUAAUCUGCCUCUGGCUUCGGGAUAGCCACCGGAAACGGUGAUUAAUACCGGAUACGACACAUCACUGCAUGGUGCGUGUGUGGAAAGUUUUUUCGGCCAGGGAUGUGCUCGCGGCCUAUCAGCUUGUUGGUGGGGUAAUGGCCUACCAAGGCUUCGACGGGUAGCCGGCCUGAGAGGGUGACCGGCCACACUGGGACUGAGACACGGCCCAGACUCCUACGGGAGGCAGCAGUGGGGAAUAUUGGACAAUGGGCGGAAGCCUGAUCCAGCAACGCCGCGUGAGGGAUGACGGCCUUCGGGUUGUAAACCUCUUUCAGCACAGACGAAGCGCAAGUGACGGUAUGUGCAGAAGAAGGACCGGCCAACUACGUGCCAGCAGCCGCGGUAAUACGUAGGGUCCGAGCGUUGUCCGGAAUUAUUGGGCGUAAAGGGCUCGUAGGCGGUUUGUCGCGUCGGGAGUGAAAACACCGGGCUUAACUCGGUGCUUGCUUUCGAUACGGGCAGACUAGAGGCAUUCAGGGGAGAACGGAAUUCCUGGUGUAGCGGUGAAAU